GACGAACGCUGGCGGCGUGCCUAAUACAUGCAAGUCGAACGAAGCUUUUUUAACUGGUGCUUGCACCGACUUAAACAACUGAGUGGCGAACGGGUGAGUAACACGUGGGUAACCUGCCCCAAAGCGGGGGAUAACAUUUGGAAACAGAUGCUAAUACCGCAUAACCACAGAAACCACAUGGUUUCUGUGUCAAAGAUGGUUUCGGCUAUCACUUUGGGAUGGACCCGCGGCGUAUUAGCUAGUUGGUAAGGUAAUGGCUUACCAAGGCAAUGAGACGUAGCCGAACUGAGAGGUUGAUCGGCCACAUUGGGACUGAGACACGGCCCAAACUCCGACGGGAGGCAGCAGUAGGGAAUCUUCCACAAUGGACGAAAGUCUGAUGGAGCAACGCCGCGUGAGUGAAGAAGGUUUUCGGAUCGUAAAACUCUGUUGUCAGAGAAGAACGUGUGCGAGAGUAACUGUUCGUGCAGUGACGGUAUCUGGCCAGAAAGCCACGGCUAACUACGUGCCAGCCGCCGCGGUAA
rnacentral:rRNA from 1 species